rnacentral:misc_RNA from 1 species
UUUUUUCUACUCAUGCCAAUCUCGUGCUUAUUUCUCUCCCUUUAUCAGCCAAACCUCUAUCUUUAUUUCUUUUUCUUUUCUGUAAAGCCUCUUGAAGGAAGGAUACUAAAGAACUAAGCCAUGGCUGCCUGUGGAAGCCUUCAGCACAUCUUCGAAAACCCAUUACAAGAAACACCUACAAUUCUUGAAUCCCUUCCUUCUUGGAAGCAAAUCAAGCCUGUAAAACCCAUCGAGCAAUCGUCGUUCA